rnacentral:rRNA from 1 species
CAGCCGCCGCGGGAAUACGUAUGUCACAAGCGUUAUCCGGAUUUAUUGGGCGUAAAGCGCGUCUAGGUGGUUAUGUAAGUCUGAUGUGAAAAUGCAGGGCUCAACUCUGUAUUGCGUUGGAAACUGUGUAACUAGAGUACUGGAGAGGUAAGCGGAACUACAAGUGUAGAGGUGAAAUUCGUAGAUAUUUGUAGGAAUGCCGAUGGGGAAGCCAGCUUACUGGACAGAUACUGACGCUGAAGCGCGAAAGCGUGGGUAGCAAACAGGAUUAGAUACCCCAGUAGUCCCUGUCUCUUAUACA